rnacentral:lncRNA from 1 species
AUGCGAGAUGCCUGGACUGGGAGUGCUUACAGGGAGAAGUGCCCAUGGGCCUCCCUGCAGCUGAGCACAGAGCAGGGGCAGAAACUCAGCAAUGCCGCCUUCAUUAUCAAGAACUGCCGUAAUUGGCCAAGAAUUGAGGGCCAGGCCUUCAGCUCUCCAGAGCCCCCCUCCUCACCAGCCUUCAGGUUACGGCCUUCCUCCCACCCAGCAGCCAAAGGAACGACCCCCACUCAUAAACUCCACCCCAGCAUCUGCCCCCAGACCCUGCCUUCCCAGAAGUCUCCCCUGUGCGGCUGGCUCCGCUCAGCCUUUCUCAAGAACCUCUUACCCACAAGCUCCCCUCCAACAAGGGUGCCCAGGGCCACACCUGAACACUCAGCUAGGGAUGGGACAGACACAAGGUCAUUCCCUUACCCCCUGGGAAGAUGGACAAAUUACCUGAGGUGAUGUGCUUAUAUCAAAACCGAUUCUGGCGGAAAAACCCACGAGAUGUCCAGGGACACUGACAGGACUCUUGCUCAUGGAACUAUUCUAAACCCGCCUGGCAGCACCCAAAGUGUCCCACAGCUAACGUUUAGACGCUGCCCCCAGGUUAGGACAGCAGAGCCUCUGGAGCUGGAAGGGGGAGAGGAUGCCCAGCGGACGUGCGGACCUUCAGCUGUCCCUGUCAGCUUCAUCUCCUUGUUUAGAAAGACUGAGACCAAUGGGCAAACGCACGGGCUCGUUCUGGGUGGGAAGCGCUCCAGGGACCGACCUCUAGGUUGGUGUUCAUUUACAGGAGAGGCUGUGUCUCCCUGCAGGCAGCCCAUUCAGAUCCCACCUCCCUCUGGCCCACCCUGCCUCCCUCCCCUGUACCCUCUGGCUCACCCUGCCCUCCCCUCCCCUGUACCCUCUGGCCCACCCUGCCCUCCCCUCCCC